UGGGCUUGACAUCCCACGAACCUUCCCGAAAGGGUUGGGUGCCCGCAAGGGAGCGUGGAGACAGGUGGUGCAUGGCUGUCGUCAGCUCGUGUCGUGAGAUGUUGGGUUAAGUCCCGCAACGAGCGCAACCCUCACCCCUUGUUGCGACCGGGUAAAGCCGAGCACUCUAGGGGAACUGCUAGCGUCAAGCUGGAGGAAGGCGGGGAUGACGUCAAGUCAUCAUGCCCCUUACGCCCUGGGCUACACACGUGCUACAAUGGCCGGUACAAAGGGAUGCAAGACCGCGAGGUGGAGCUAACCCCAAAAAACCGGUCUAAGUUCAGAUUGCAGUCUGCAACUCGACUGCAUGAAGGAGGAAUCGCUAGUAAUCGCGCAUCAGCACGGCGCGGUGAAUACGUUCCCGGGCCUUGUACACACCGCCCGUCACACCACGAAAGCCGGCUGUACUCGAAGUCGCUGAG
rnacentral:rRNA from 1 species